rnacentral:rRNA from 1 species
AAUUAGAGGCUGGAAUGAAUGAAUAUACGAGAGUUUAGCUGUUUCAUUUUUACUUCUAAAAAUUAUCCUUUAAGUGAAGAGACUUAAAUAAAAUAAAAAGACAAAAAGACCCUAUUGAGCUUUAUUUCAUAAGUUAAACUUCUAUAGCCCAUGCAAAAGAACCUUACCUAUAGAAAUUUUGUUGGGGCGACAAGAGAAGACCUAAAUCUUCUCUAUACUACAAGAAUAUUCCUCUACUAAUGAUCCGUAAUAAACGAUUAACAGAGCCAGCUACCAUAGGGAUAACAGGCUAAUCUUCUUUGAGAGCCCAAAUUGACAAGAAGGAUUGGCACCUCGAUGUUGGCUUAGGAUACCUGAUAGAUGCAGAAGUCUUUCAAGUGGGUUUGUUCAACCUUUAAUAUCCUACGUGAUCUGAGUUC